ensembl:lncRNA
UCCCUCAUAUCUGAUAUUUGUAAGACAGCCAGCCCUGUGAAAACAUAUGUGAGUGUUUCUCUGAUAGCCUCUAACUGUGCCUACACGCACUGUUGACAAAAGCUGUUUACAUCAAUCUGGAUCGUAGCGAAAAAAUUCCACAUUGCCCUGCCAGAGUUAUUUGUGGUCUGGACAGCGUGAGCAUGUCCCUGAUGCUUGUGUUGUUUUUAAUGAGAUGAUGAUCCACUGCCUGCCAAAGCACUGCAUCUGUGAUUCAAACAACACUAAGCUUUUUGAAAGAAGGAAAUAGCCCAUAUGUGUGUUUAAAUGUAUUUAUUUAUUUAUUUAAUUAAUUUAGACUUUUACAUUGUUAUGAAAGAUUUAUAUUUAAAAAAUGCUGUUCUUUUGAAAUUUUUUAUUCCUCAAAGAAUCCUGAAAAAAUGUAUUGUGCAGAAUGUAUCAAAAAUGUAUUAAAAAAAACAUUGAAUAACUAUUUUCAUACUUUAACAUUGUUACAAAAGAUUUAUAUAUAUAUUUUUAAAUGCAGUUCUCUUGAACUUUAUAUUCCACAAAGAAUACUGCAAAAAAUACUGUAUCAAAUGUAUAAAAAAGUUGCAUAAAAAAUGUUUUCAAUAUUGUUUUUUUUUUUAAAUCUAGUUUCUUGAGCAAUAAAUCAGCAUAUUAGAUGAUUUCUGAAGGACACUGAAGAGUGGAAAAUUCAGGUUUGCAUAAAGGGAAUAAAUUAUAUUUUAAAAUAGAUUCACUUAGAAAGCAGUUACUUUAAAUUGUAAUAACAUUUCACAAUUCUACUCGUUUUACUUAAAAACACAAAACACAAAAUUUAUUAUUCUUGGUGCUUUUUGUACUUUUUUUAUAUGGAAAGCAUUAACAUACUUCAAAAUAUGUUCCAAAAAAAAAAAAAAAGAUACGAGUUUGUAAUAACAUGAGGGUGAGUAAAUGAUGACAGAGUUUUCAUGUUUGUUUUGAAAAUGAAAGUCAUUAACUAAAGACAUGCUAUGUAAUUGCCCUCCUUGUUACUGAUAAUCAUAAAAACAGAAACCUCAGUUGCUCCUGCAAUAACAGCACAGAAACAUGUAAUCAGCGAAAGACAGCAUUUUGGAGCUCAAGUUCAAAGGCCUGUGAACGUCGCC